rnacentral:lncRNA from 1 species
AAGGACUCCAGAAGCCGGGCCUGCGGCGAGGUGGCUAUGGUCUGGGCAGGGAGAAGGUGGAUGCUGCACAUGCCUGUGCCAGUUCAGAACACCCAAAAUGCCGACGUGGGGAUUCAAGUAGAUUCCUGCCUGCUGAGAAACGGUAGAUAGCUUUGGAUUUAGUGUAUUCAGGUGUGAAAUUAUAAGUCUAAAAAUGAAUCAGUUUAACCUGAUGUGUAGCCUAUCUUGAAUACGAGCUGAGAAUACGCUGGCUACGCUGUCAAUGGAUGCGAACAGUCGAGCAUCGUGAUGUUUGGACCUAAUGCACAUUUCUAAAUAGUUAUAGAGUUAAGCAGCUGUACUUUAUAACCGGAAAGGUAAAUGAGGAAUAUAGAAAUGCAAGACAGUUGUUCUGAUAGUGUUAUUGCUAUUCGAUCUGGAAAAACAGAAGAAAGGGUAAAAAUAUACAUUUCAUCCGAUUGGUCAGUUCUGAGGUGUCACUUGGUUCUUGAAGCAGCGAUAUCAGCAGGCAGGUGAAGUGGAAACCGCCCACUAGGAGCAACAGUGAGCACUGUUACCUUCAAGUAGGCUUUACAUAAAUUGAAACCCACAAGUAAGGCUAAGUAAAGCUAUACAUUUCACAGAGAUGUCUGAUAUGCAACAAACUCUCACCAUCUCAUGUCAGAAUUAGAGAUUCAUCCAUGUUUCUUAAUCAUCUCAAGGUUGCAUGUUCGAAUCCAGCAAUAGAAAGUUGGUUUUGAUAUUUUCCUUUUAAACCUAUCAUAAACCUUAACCCUUACAUGAACCAUUAUGAGUGAAUGCCUAAACUUAACCUUGGAACAAUACAAAGCAGUAACCAAACACUUCGAAAUUUGAUGUUUGGAACAACUUAAAAAUGUGACAUUUCUGAAACAUGGAUGAACGUCUAACUCUGAUGUGAGAUUGUGAGAGCUUGUUGCAUAUCAGAGAUCUCUGUUAAAUGUAUAGCUUUACUUAGUGGUGGGUUUCAAUACUGUAUAUUUAAAAUAAUCCUGAUAGUCAAACCAAUAUAUUCACCUUCCUACUAUAGCCUACCUGUAUUUUGGGGCAAAAACAUAAUGAAAAGAAAACAUAAGUUGCAUAGCAUACUGCCUAGGCUACCUAAUCGUUUUGAUGACAAUCAUAGAAUAUUACAAUUGGAUUUUGUGUAUUAGCCAGGGGUGCAACUUUCGCUGAGGACGGGGGGGACAUUCCCCACAUUCUGAAAUUGCAUUUUUGUCCCCUCCAGUUUUAUCAUUGGAAUGUGAUCCAAAAUGAGGCAACAGUGUGCUUUAGGACCAUGUGGACGCCUCCGAGUGGUCGGGUAGGCUGUUUUGGAGUGUUUAUCAGACUGAAAAAAUGUAAUAAUAAUAAUAUUAUGUACCCCCUACUUCUAAAACCAAAGUUGCGCCCCCCUGCGCCCCAUCCAGGACCUCUAUACCAGGAGGAAGGCCCUAAAAAUUGUCAAAGACUCCAGCCACCCUAGUCAUAGACUGUUCUCU